GAUCCUGGCUCAGAACGAACGCUGGCGGCAUGGAUUAGGCAUGCAAGUCGAACGAAGUAGCAAUACUUAGUGGCGCAAGGGUGAGGAACGCGUGAGUGACCUACCCGCAAGUUUGGAACAGCUCCUGGAAACGGGAAUUAAUACCGGAUGUGAUCAAUGGACUGCAUGGUUUAUUGAUUAAAGCAGUAAUGCGCUUGCGGAUGGGCUCGCGUCCCAUUAGCUAGUUGGUGAGGUAACGGCCCACCAAGGCCAUGAUGGGUAGCUGGUCUGAGAGGACGACCAGCCACACUGGGACUGAGAACUGCCCAGACUCCUACGGGAGGCUGCAGUCGAGAACUUUGGGCAAUGGACGAAAGUCCUGACCCAGCAAUGCCGCGUGCGGGAUGAAGGUCUUCGGAUUGUAAACCGCUGUUUGGAGGGACGAAAAUUGACGGUACUUCCAGAGAAAGCCACGGCUAACUACGUGCCAGCCGCAGC
rnacentral:rRNA from 1 species